GGCGAGAAUCAUUGUGGCCUGAGUUGGAUCAAUUGCUUCGGGAUGAGGAUGAUGCAACAACAGUGACCACACCUUACACAGCUGCCAUAUCAGAAUAUCGAGUGGUAUUCCAUGAUCCUGCUGAUGUAGCUGAUGAGAACAAGAACUGGAUGAAUGCAAAUGGUCAUGCUGUACAUGAUGCUCAACAUCCAUUCAGAUCGAAUGUGGUUGUGAGAAAGGAGCUCCAUACGCCUGCAUCUGAUCGUUCUUGUACUCAUCUAGAGUUCGAUAUUUCUGGGUCUGCACUCAAAUAUGAAACAGGGGAUCAUGUUGGUGUUUACUGUGAAAAUUUAACUGAG
rnacentral:misc_RNA from 1 species